UACGUAGGGUGCGAGCGUUGUCCGGAAUUAUUGGGCGUAAAGAGCUUGUAGGCGGUUUGUCGCGUCUGCCGUGAAAUUUCGAGGCUCAACCUCGAACUUGCGGUGGGUACGGGGCAGACUAGAGUUCGGUAGGGGAGUCUGGAAUUCCUGGUGUAGCGGUGAAAUGCGCAGAUAUCAGGAGGAACACCGGUGGCGAAGGCGGGACUCUGGGCCGAUACUGACGCUGAGGAGCGAAAGCGUGGGGAGCAAACAGG
rnacentral:rRNA from 1 species